AGACGGGGACCCGCACAAGCGGUGGAUGAUGUGGAUUAAUUCGAUGCAACGCGAAGAACCUUACCUACCCUUGACAUGUCCGGAACUUGCCAGAGAUGGCUUGGUGCCCGAAAGGGAAUCGGAACACAGGUGCUGCAUGGCUGUCGUCAGCUCGUGUCGUGAGAUGUUGGUUAAGUCCCGCAACGAGCGCAACCCUUAUCAUUAGUUGCUACGCAAGGGCACUCUAAUGAGACUGCCGGUGACAAACCGGAGGAAGGUGGGGAUGACGUCAAGUCCUCAUGGCCCUUAUGGGUAGGGCUUCACACGUCAUACAAUGGUCGGUACAGAGGGUUGCCAAGCCGCGAGGUGGAGCCAAUCCCACAAAGCCGAUCGUAGUCCGGAUUGUUCUCUGCAACUCGAGAGCAUGAAGUCGGAAUCGCUAGUAAUCGCAGGUCAGCAUACUGCGGUGAAUACGUUCCCGGGUCUU
rnacentral:rRNA from 1 species